rnacentral:rRNA from 1 species
GUGAGUAAUGUCUGGGAAACUGCCUGAUGGAGGGGGAUAACUACUGGAAACGGUAGCUAAUACCGCAUAACGUCUACGGACCAAAGUGGGGGACCUUCGGGCCUCAUGCCAUCAGAUGUGCCCAGAUGGGAUUAGCUAGUAGGUGGGGUAAUGGCUCACCUAGGCGACGAUCCCUAGCUGGUCUGAGAGGAUGACCAGCCACACUGGAACUGAGACACGGUCCAGACUCCUACGGGAGGCAGCAGUGGGGAAUAUUGCACAAUGGGCGCAAGCCUGAUGCAGCCAUGCCGCGUGUGUGAAGAAGGCCUUCGGGUUGUAAAGCACUUUCAGCGAGGAGGAAGGGUUCAGUGUUAAUAGCACUGUUCAUUGACGUUACUCGCAGAAGAAGCACCGGCUAACUCCGUGCCAGCAGCCGCGGUAAUACGGAGGGUGCAAGCGUUAAUCGGAAUUACUGGGCGUAAAGCGCACGCAGGCGGUUUGUUAAGUCAGAUGUGAAAUCCCCGCGCUUAACGUGGGAACUGCAUUUGAAACUGGCAAGCUAGAGUCUUGUAGAGGGGGGUAGAAUUCCAGGUGUAGCGGUGAAAUGCGUAGAGAUCUGGAGGAAUACCGGUGGCGAAGGCGGCCCCCUGGAC